rnacentral:rRNA from 1 species
GGGUGCGAUCAUACCAGCAUUAAUGCACCGGAUCCCAUCAAAACACCGCAGUUAAGCGCGCUUGGGCUAGAGUAGUACUGGGAUGGAUGACCUCCCGAUAAGUCCUAGUGUUGCACCCU